rnacentral:rRNA from 1 species
CCCUUAGAUGUUCUGGGCCGCACGCGUGCUACACUGAGUGGAUCAGCGGGUCAGGUUGCGCGAAAGUGUUUCCUAAUCUUGAAAUCCGCUCGUGAUGGGGAUUGACGGUUGCAAUUUUCCGUCAUGAACGAGGAAUACCUUGUAAGCGCGGGUCAUCAUCCCGCGCUGAAUACGUCCCUGCCCUUUGUACACACCGCCCGUCGCUCCUACCGAUUGAGUGGUCCGGUGAGGCUUUGGGAUCUGAGCAAUGAGAGCGUUUCGCUCGUUUUGCCCGGAAAACUCAGUCGAACCUUAUCAUUUAGAGGAAGGAGAAGUCGUAACA